CCCCUAGAUGUUCUGGGCCGCACGCGCGCUACACUGAACAGUUCAACAAGUCUUAACCUUGGCCGAUAGGUCUGGGUAAUCUUUGAACGCUGUUCGUGAUUGGGAUAGACCUUUGCAAUUAUGGGUCUUCAACGAGGAAUUCCUAGUAAACGCAAGUCAUCAGCUUGCAUUGAUUACGUCCCUGCCCUUUGUACACACCGCCCGUCGCACCUACCGAUUGAGUGAUCCGGUGAAUAAUUCGGACUGCAGCACUGCUUGGUCUCCAGGCUUUGCAGCGGAAAGUUUAGUGAACCUUAUCACUUAGAGGAAGGAGAANUCGUANCA
rnacentral:rRNA from 1 species